CCCCAAGCGACGUUUGAGUCAGGCACGGGUGCAAGAAAUAAGGAUUCUCUUUCUUUUAAUAAUAAUGAAACUUGAAACCCAAACCCAAACCCAAACCACCCAACUGAGGCA
rnacentral:ribozyme from 1 species